UACAGAGGGUGCGAGCGUUAAUCGGAAUUACUGGGCGUAAAGGGUGCGUAGGUUGUUUAUUAAGUUAGGUGUGAAAGUCCCGGGCUUAACCUGGGGAUUGCACUUGAUACUGAUAGACUGGAGUCGAGUAGAGGGGAGUGGAAUUUCCGGUGUAGCGGUGAAAUGCGUAGAUAUCGGAAGGAACACCGGUGGCGAAGGCGGCUCCCUGGACUUAGACUGACACUGAGGCACGAAAGCGUGGGUAGCAAACAGG
rnacentral:rRNA from 1 species